rnacentral:rRNA from 1 species
GAUGAACGCUAGCGGCAGGCCUAAUACAUGCAAGUCGAACGGUAGAUCGGGUAGCAAUACUUGAUUGAGAGUGACGUAAGGGUGCGUAACACGUAUGCAAUCUACCCUCAACAGGAGUAUAGCUCGGGGAAACUCGGAUUAACACUCCAUAACAUUACGAUGUGGCAUCACAUUGUGAUUAAAACUCCGGUGGUUGAGGAUGAGCAUGCGUCUGAUUAGUUAGUUGGAGGUGUAACGGACCCCCAAGACGAUGAUCAGUAGGGGAACUGAGAGGUUGAUCCCCCACACUGGCACUGAGAUACGGGCCAGACUCCUACGGGAGGCAGCAGUAGGGAAUAUUGGUCAAUGGGUGAGAGCCUGAACCAGCCAUGCCGCGUACAGGAAGACGGCCUUCUGGGUUGUAAACUGCUUUUGUACGGGAAGAAACACCCCCUCGUGGAGGGGGCUUGACGGUACCGUAAGAAUAAGGAUCGGCUAACUCCGUGCCAGCAGCCGACGG